rnacentral:rRNA from 1 species
UACGUAGGCAGCAAGCGUUGUUCGGAGUUACUGGGCGUAAAGAGUAUGUAGGCGGUUGCGUAAGUUCGGUGUGAAAUCUCCCGGCUUAACUGGGAGGGUGCGCCGAAAACUGCGUGGCUAGAGUGCGGGAGAGGAGAGCGGAAUUCCUGGUGUAGCGGUGAAAUGCGUAGAUAUCAGGAGGAACACCGGUGGCGAAGGCGGGUCUCUGGGCAACAACUGACGCUGAGGAGCGAAAGCGUGGGGAGCGAACAGG